UGGGGAGGUGCUUCCUCCAUGGAUGGUGUUCUGAGCGUGUCACAAUGCAACACCGGACUAUAACGUCUAUGGACUAUGAUUUACUCAACUCCUGCUUCCUCCACCGGCUCCUUUCAAAAAAGGACAAAGCAUCAGUAGAACACGCCUGACUCUCCUCCACCAGUCAUACAAGGAGAAUGGUCUAAUGCCUCCCAUCAAAAAGAGAGCUGACCCAUGCAAGCAAUGGCAGCAGUGCAGUCAUCAACCACAUGCACCAUUUCUUCACCAACUACGGAGUUGGGGAAACACGUGUGGUACUGAAUUGUGAUAACUGCAGUGGCCAAAACAAGAACAAGUUUGUGCUCUGGUAUUGUGCCUGGUGAACCAUGCACAAGCUCCACCACAGUCUGGACCUUCACCUCCCGAUCACAGGCCACAACAAGUUUGCCCCCGACUGCUGCUUCGGCCUCAUCAAGCAGCGCUUCAGAAAGACAAGAGUGAACACUUUGUCUGAGAUUGCUGGUGUUGUGAAGGACAGCACUGUGAUAGGGGUCAACAUCCCACAGUUGGUUGGACUGGAGGAUGGUACGGCGCUGGUGGAAAGUUAUGGCUGGCAACAACACCUGACUCCUUACUUCAUGCCGCUGCCACAGAUCAAGCAGCACCAGCACUUCAGCUUCGAUGCUCUGGAGCCUGCUGUUGUUGUCGCCAAGGAGCGUUCGGACUGUCGGGACCAGGUUUCAGCAGCUGCUCAACGCCGACAUCCUUCCUCCCAUAGAUGGUCUGCCUGUACAAGCACCACCUGGACUGGACACAGCUAGACAAACUUAUCUUUUUGACAAGAUCAGGGAGUUUUGCGACGAAGAGGCUAUGGACAUCACAUGCUGUGCACCAAAGUCAAGGGCAGGACAGAAACAGGCACUCCGAAUAUAGAUUCCCUUGUUCAUGUGUGGUUUGGACGGACCAGUCAGCAGCACUAUCUGCAGUGCCUCUAUUCUAUUCAAUGACUCUCUCCUAACACACACGCCAUACGUUGCUGCUACUAUUAUUAUUUUAUCCUGCUGCUCAGCCACUUUACCCCUGAUUGUAUGCAUACAACUACCUCGUCUAUCACAAUCGUUAUUGAUAUUG
rnacentral:lncRNA from 1 species